GACGAACGCUGGCGGCGUGCCUAAUACAUGCAAGUAGAACGCUGAAGAGAGGAGCUUGCUCUUCUUGGAUGAGUUGCGAACGGGUGAGUAACGCGUAGGUAACCUGCCUGGUAGCGGGGGAUAACUAUUGGAAACGAUAGCUAAUACCGCAUAAAAUUGCUUAUCGCAUGAUAAUUAAUUGAAAGAUGCAAUUGCAUCACUACCAGAUGGACCUGCGUUGUAUUAGCUAGUUGGUGAGGUAACGGCUCACCAAGGCGACGAUACAUAGCCGACCUGAGAGGGUGAUCGGCCACACUGGGACUGAGACACGGCCCAGACUCCUACGGGAGGCAGCAGUAGGGAAUCUUCGGCAAUGGGGGGAACCCUGACCGAGCAACGCCGCGUGAGUGAAGAAGGUUUUCGGAUCGUAAAGCUCUGUUGUAAGAGAAGAACGGGUGUGAGAGUGGAAAGUUCACACUGUGACGUAUCUACCAGAAA
rnacentral:rRNA from 1 species